CUUAUGGUUAAAUUUUCAAAAACCCUGCAAUUGCCCCUCUUUUUAUAUAAGUCUACUGCAAAAUGAUUAAAUAAAAGUAGGGUAAAAACGUAUUUCAGCGUAAAAAAAAAAAAAGGAUAAACACGUUAAGAUUCUUCUCACGUGAAGUUGAGAUAUAGAAAACUCAAACUGAUAUGCAGUUAUUAUCCUCCGACCCGCUCUUCUUUACCGAGCAAAACUCCUUAUUGGUAAGCAGAAGGGAUUCUUGAAUAUCCCAAUAGUCUCUCCUCAUAAUCUCACACUCCAAUUACAAGAAUUAAUAUUGAAGUUCAUCCCUAUGGUUCUUUUUUCUAUAUAUUUGGUUUUUACCUCACAUUCUCUGUGCUUACUAGGUGUAUGUUCAGGUUUUAGAUCAAGGAAGAGUUGUGGAAGGAGAAAGAGAAAUCAAUGAAGGCCCUCAAAAUUGCUCAAUCUGAUUGACUCCAGGGAAUAAAGGAAGGCAGAAAGGAAUAAGCAAAAAGGCCAUAGAAGAAUGGUCUGAAAAAUAAUUUGGAGUUUAUGAAUGAAGAAAAGCUGGAGGUUAUAUGUUGUGUUCAUGAACACUUUUAUGUCUUUAGUUUACUCUAUGUGUUCUUUGGUGUAUUUACAAUGAAGAUCAUAUGCGUUAUUUAUCUAUUUUGUUAUUUCUUUGUUACUUUUAA